GGGUUGUGAGGUUAAGCGACUAAGCGUACACGGUGGAUGCCCUGGCAGUCAGAGGCGAUGAAGGGCGUGCUAAUCUGCGAUAAGCGCCGGUAAGGUGAUAUGAACCGUUAUAACCGGCGAUACCCGAAUGGGGAAACCCAGUGUGAUUCGUCACACUAUCAUUAACUGAAUCCAUAGGUUAAUGAGGCGAACCGGGGGAACUGAAACAUCUAAGUACCCCGAGGAAAAGAAAUCAACCGAGAUUCCCCCAGUAGCGGCGAGCGAACGGGGAGGAGCCCAGAGCCUGAAUCAGCAUGUGUGUUAGUGGAAGCGUCUGGAAAGGCGCGCGAUACAGGGUGACAGCCCCGUACACAAAAGCGCAUGUGCUGUGAGCUCGAUGAGUAGGGCGGGACACGUGGUAUCCUGUCUGAAUAUGGGGGGACCAUCCUCCAAGGCUAAAUACUCCUGACUGACCGAUAGUGAACCAGUACCGUGAGGGAAAGGCGAAAAGAACCCCGGCGAGGGGAGUGAAAAAGAACCUGAAACCGUGUACGUACAAGCAGUGGGAGCNNNNNNNNNNNNNNNNNNNNNNNNNNNNNNNNNNNNNNGGGCGUUAAGUUGCAGGGUAUAGACCCGAAACCCGGUGAUCUAGCCAUGGGCAGGUUGAAGGUUGGGUAACACUAACUGGAGGACCGAACCGACUAAUGUUGAAAAAUUAGCGGAUGACCUGUGGCUGGGGGUGAAAGGCCAAUCAAACCGGGAGAUAGCUGGUUCUCCCCGAAAGCUAUUUAGGUAGCGCCUCGUGAAUUCAUCUCCGGGGGUAGAGCACUGUUUCGGCUAGGGGGCCAUCCCGGCUUACCAACCCGAUGCAAACUGCGAAUACCGGAGAAUGUUAUCACGGGAGACACACGGCGGGUGCUAACGUCCGUCGUGAAGAGGGAAACAACCCAGACCGCCAGCUAAGGUCCCAAAGUCAUGGUUAAGUGGGAAACGAUGUGGGAAGGCCCAGACAGCCAGGAUGUUGGCUUAGAAGCAGCCAUCAUUUAAAGAAAGCGUAAUAGCUCACUGGUCGAGUCGGCCUGCGCGGAAGAUGUAACGGGGCUAAACCAUGCACCGAAGCUGCGGCAGCGACACUGUGUGUUGUUGGGUAGGGGAGCGUUCUGUAAGCCUGUGAAGGUGUGUCGUGAGGCAUGCUGGAGGUAUCAGAAGUGCGAAUGCUGACAUAAGUAACGAUAAAGCGGGUGAAAAGCCCGCUCGCCGGAAGACCAAGGGUUCCUGUCCAACGUUAAUCGGGGCAGGGUGAGUCGACCCCUAAGGCGAGGCCGAAAGGCGUAGUCGAUGGGAAACGGGUUAAUAUUCCCGUACUUGGUGUUACUGCGAAGGGGGGACGGAGAAGGCUAUGUUGGCCGGGCGACGGUUGUCCCGGUUUAAGCGUGUAGGUGUGUGUUCCAGGUAAAUCCGGUUCACUUUAACACUGAGGCGUGACGACGAGGCACUACGGUGCUGAAGCAACAAAUGCCCUGCUUCCAGGAAAAGCCUCUAAGCAUCAGGUAACAUCAAAUCGUACCCCAAACCGACACAGGUGGUCAGGUAGAGAAUACCAAGGCGCUUGAGAGAACUCGGGUGAAGGAACUAGGCAAAAUGGUGCCGUAACUUCGGGAGAAGGCACGCUGACACGUAGGUGAAGUGAUUUACUCAUGGAGCUGAAGUCAGUCGAAGAUACCAGCUGGCUGCAACUGUUUAUUAAAAACACAGCACUGUGCAAACACGAAAGUGGACGUAUACGGUGUGACGCCUGCCCGGUGCCGGAAGGUUAAUUGAUGGGGUCAGCGCAAGCGAAGCUCCUGAUCGAAGCCCCGGUAAACGGCGGCCGUAACUAUAACGGUCCUAAGGUAGCGAAAUUCCUUGUCGGGUAAGUUCCGACCUGCACGAAUGGCGUAAUGAUGGCCAGGCUGUCUCCACCCGAGACUCAGUGAAAUUGAACUCGCUGUGAAGAUGCAGUGUACCCGCGGCAAGACGGAAAGACCCCGUGAACCUUUACUAUAGCUUGACACUGAACAUUGAGCCUUGAUGUGUAGGAUAGGUGGGAGGCUUUGAAGUGUGGACGCCAGUCUGCAUGGAGCCGACCUUGAAAUACCACCCUUUAAUGUUUGAUGUUCUAACGUGGACCCGUUACCCGGGUUGCGGACAGUGUCUGGUGGGUAGUUUGACUGGGGCGGUCUCCUCCUAAAGAGUAACGGAGGAGCACGAAGGUUGGCUAAUCCUGGUCGGACAUCAGGAGGUUAGUGCAAUGGCAUAAGCCAGCUUGACUGCGAGCGUGACGGCGCGAGCAGGUGCGAAAGCAGGUCAUAGUGAUCCGGUGGUUCUGAAUGGAAGGGCCAUCGCUCAACGGAUAAAAGGUACUCCGGGGAUAACAGGCUGAUACCGCCCAAGAGUUCAUAUCGACGGCGGUGUUUGGCACCUCGAUGUCGGCUCAUCACAUCCUGGGGCUGAAGUAGGUCCCAAGGGUAUGGCUGUUCGCCAUUUAAAGUGGUACGCGAGCUGGGUUUAGAACGUCGUGAGACAGUUCGGUCCCUAUCUGCCGUGGGCGCUGGAGAACUGAGGGGGGCUGCUCCUAGUACGAGAGGACCGGAGUGGACGCAUCACUGGUGUUCGGGUUGUCAUGCCAAUGGCACUGCCCGGUAGCUAAAUGCGGAAGAGAUAAGUGCUGAAAGCAUCUAAGCACGAAACUUGCCCCGAGAUGAGUUCUCCCUGAGACUUAAAGUCUCCUGAAGGAACGUUGAAGACGACGACGUUGAUAGGCCGGGUGUGUAAGCGCAGCGAUGCGUUGAGCUAACCGGUACUAAUGAACCGUGAGGCUUAACCUUACAACGCCGAAG
rnacentral:rRNA from 1 species